ACGGGAGCGCCGAGCCGGCGAGCUGGCUUCGGUUUGCCGAGUUCCUCCAGCGGGUUGUUCCGCACCGUCGGCAGGCUUGGCUACGCAAGCUGGUGUUAGAGCCGGGACCCAAGAGCGUUCCUUGCUUCGUGCCAGGCAUUGUUGCGCUUCAAGCCGACGUGCGCGGGGCGUCGCAAGGCCGCUGUCUCUCAGAACGUAGACCACGACCACGACCAUUGCGGCAGCGGCAGCGGCAGCGGCAGUGGCGGGCAUCCAGCGUCUCAGGAAGCGUCUGCUGUAUACUCGGCCCAUAGAGGACGACUCAUGGCGCUCGAUCGACCAGACUCCUUACCUCGAUGAGGUCGUUGGCCGAGGGCUCGUGGAAAGUGGAAUCGCCUCCGGAGGAUCCUGAUUGGCUGCUUUGGACUGACACGAAGCAUUACGGUCGGAUCGGCACCCGGAGAUUCGCUGGAUAAAGCCUCGACUGUUGCAGCAGUGCCUUUUUUGGAUUAGUCGAAACUGGUAGCACCUCUUGAGCGGACGAGAUCCCUCACUUGUUUUCGGGUAGCGCUCGCUUUUCCACGAGGCCCUGAUACAGUGAAUCGAUCCGGCGUCAUCAACGCGCGUGCCGCUGGGUGCGCACGAGGCUCCAUGGUCGAAAGGAAAACAAAGAUUAAAAUGGAACACUGAACGACUCGCUCUGUAUCUGCAUCACGAUUUCUUUUCCGCAAGUUUUCAUAAAUAUACAGCCUCGAUGUCCAAAAUGGAUGCAAUAAGGGCUCACGGAUCCAUGUGCAGUUCCAGGAUUCCGGAUUGUGGUUUCGGAGUGACGCAAUCGACGCUUUGCCGCUGGAAUUCGUACCGUCAACCGCGUCAGGGUGAUUCGUGACGCCCUCGAACGAUGGUUCCAAAAACAACUGGUAUCAUUAUUCAGUUCGUAGAAAAGAGUCUCGAGGCUUUUCCUCUGCCUCGUGUGUGGCAUGGUCGAAUCACGCAUGCUUCUUGUUUUCUGUAUCGCUGUUUCUGUGCAACUCGUGCGCACCGUCCAUCGGGCACGACAUCGCCUUUUGUGAGGCGCUCUCGAAUGCGACGGCGUACGCCUACACGUCCAGCGGACGGCGUACUCGCCGAGCGGAUCGCCCCAGACAAGCGCUUGAUGGAGGCGUGCGACACCGGCCGCAAGGAACGCACGAGGAGGCAUCAACCGGAGCCUUCGGUACCCGUCACAGGCGUUUGCGGAGCGAUGCAGCACGCGUUUUCGCGCCAAAGGCUGGCGGUCGAAGUCGGGGGAUCUCCGAUGUAUAUACAUAUGAAUACGGGCACAUCCGACCGCGCGCAGGUGUCAUCGUCGUAAGCAGCAUACCGAAGCUGUGGACAAAGAAGAUGAAACCUGCAAGUGAGGUGGCGAUCGCACGUACCUCCCGUGGAUGACAUGAAUAGCGCAGAUCCUGAUUGAGCACAGAAGCGCGACCUGGACGCUGCAAUCAACAUGCUUGGACUGCUCGCCACGGCGCUCUUAGUCCAUGAUUUUUGAGCGUAUUUCAUAUCGAGGGUAACAGAGAGGAAAAGGAAGCAGUUGCAGAGCAACCUAUGUCGUUCGGUUCUAAUGGCAGGUGGAGGAGUCCCAAGCAUUGCUGUGUGCAUGUACGAGCUCCCUAUCGAUCGUCAGUGAAACGGAAAACGUUCUACGACCAUGGAGGGUAAAUAUACGCUCACGAAU
rnacentral:misc_RNA from 1 species